rnacentral:rRNA from 1 species
UACGUAGGGGGCAAGCGUUGUCCGGAUUUAUUGGGCGUAAAGAGUUCGUAGGCGGUUUGUUAAGUCUAAUGUUAAAGAUCGGGGCUCAACCUCGGGACUGCAUUCGAUACUGCCGUGCUUGAGGACUGGAGAGGAGACUGGAAUUUACGGUGUAGCGGUGAAAUGCGUAGAUAUCGUAAGGAAGACCAGUGGCGAAGGCGGGUCUCUGGACAGUUCCUGACGCUGAGGCACGAAGGCCAGGGGAGCAAACGGG